GGCUUCCGGUACUGUUGGCGCGCAUCGGCAUGGAUCGAAACCCGUCUCCUCCGCCGCCUACCUGUGGUUCGGAGGAUGAAGAGGACCUGGGUGGGGGAGACCGCAUCGGGAGCACGGUCUACAGCAAGCACUGGCUCUUCGGCGUCCUCAGCGGGCUCAUCCAGAUUGUCACACCUGAAAGUGGCACAUCUGGCUCAGCUGAUGAGGAAGAACAGGCAGAUCUUGCUGAAGAAAUGGAGAAUGAGAUUUGCAGAGUCUGGGAUAUGUCCAUGGACGAGGAUGUGGCUUUAUUUCUCCAAGAAUUUAAGGCUCCUGACAUAUUCAUGGGAGUGCUGGCCAAAUCCCCGUGUCCCCGAUUAAGAGAAAUCUGUGUGGGAAUUUUAGGGAAUAUGGCUUGUUUCCGGGAGAUAUGCGAGUCCAUCAGCAAGAACGAGGAUCAUGGGCAGGUGCUGCUGCAGUGUUUGUGUGACUCAGACCCACCCACCCUGCUGGAAACUUGCAGGUUGUUGCUUACUUGCCUUUCCCAGACAGAAGUGGCCAGUGUCUGGGUUAGAAGGAUCCGGGAACACCCAUCUGUCUACGCUAACGUUUGCUUCAUCAUGUCCAGUUCAACAAACGUUGACUUGCUGGUGAAGGUCGGGGAGGUCGUGGACAAACUCUUUGACUUAGAUGAAAAACUCAUGUUGGAAUGGAUUAGAAAGGGGGCUACCCGGCUUCCAGGCCAACCCCACGAGGACUCUGAAGAGCAGCCAGUGUUUUCCAUUGUACCCUGUGUGCUGGAAGCUGCCAAACAAGUGCGGUAAUUACCCUCUUAAUUACCUUCUUUCCUCCAAGACUGGUAUACUUUGUGAAGCUCUGAAAACCUGGAGGGGCUGGAUGUUUACAUGCGCAUCUUACAGCUGCUCACCACGGUGGAUGACGGCGUGCAAGCCAUCGUGCAGUGUCCUGAUACUGGAAACGACACGUGGCGUUUACUCUUUGACCUGGUGUGCCAUGAAUUCUGCCAGCCUGAUGACCCGCCUGUCAUACUGCAGGAACAGAAGACAGUGCUAGCGUCUGUCUUCUCAGUGCUGUCAGCCAUCAGUGCCUCACGGGCCGAACAGGAGCACCUGAAGAUAGAAGAAGGGGAUCUUCCUCUAAUUGACAGCCUAAUUCGGGUAUUACAAAAUAUGGAACAUUGUCAGAAGAAACCAGAGAACCCCUCAGAGUCUGAUACAGAAGAGCCUACGAUCUGUGGUCCCACCCAAGACGACUUCCAUAUGAAGAUCUUGAAGGACAUUUCAUGUGAAUUCCUUUCUAAUAUUUUUCAGGUGUUAACAAAGGAAAAGGUGGCUCAGGGACUGAAGGAGGGCCAGUUAAGCAAGCAGAAGUGCUCCUGCGCCUUUCAGAGCCUCCUGCCCCUCUACGGCCCUGCAGUGGAAGACUUCGUUAAAGUCGUACGUGAGGUCGAUGAGGCUCUUGCUGAUGACCUAGAAGACAGCUUCCCAAGUGUGAAGGCACAGACUUAAGACCCAAGUUGGAGCUUCUGCUGUCCAAGGAAUAAACUUUGUGUUUUCUAUGGUUCGAAGUUGGCAUCGGGAUGAUGGUGUGAAUGAACAUUGUAUCAGACCUUGAUUUCGUAGUCUGCCCUGAUGCCCGUCUCCUCCCACUUGUGUUUGUACCAGACGCUGGUUUACCACUGUCACCCCCCUCUCCUCUGCAUUGAGCGCAUGUUACUGAUGCUUGGUUGAAGAAGAGGAAAUCCAAGCUUGUUGUCACAGUUAAGGUGCUGCUGGGAAAAGACCCCAUGGCCAUGACAACUCUUACAAAGGAUGACGUUUAACUGGGCCUGGCUUCCAGGUUCAUUAUCCUGGAGGGAAGCAUGGCAGGGUGCAGGCACCGUAAGGCUGGAGAAGGAGCUGAGAGCGCUACAUCUUGAUUUGCAGGCAGCAGAAGGCACACUGGGCAAAGCUCUAGCCUAGGAGACCUCAAAGCCUGCCCCCUACAGUGACACUUACUCCAAUAAGGCCACACAUCCUAGUAGUGCCAGUCCCCAUGGGCUAUGCAUUCAAGCACCCGAGUCUAUGCAUCACCAUAUUUGUCAGAGCAAAGGUUCUUUUUCCAAUAUUGAGUUGUAAGGUUGUCUUCAUAAUCUUUACUUGGGCUUUUAUGUGAGAAUUUUGUAUUCAUUACAAGUACAUUUAGUUGCAGUGACAGAAACUCCUCAUAUGGUAGCUUCCUCCAGUAUCCUUGUGUAUUUCAUACAAUAUAUGCAGAGACAAGUGCAGACCGGGGAACCGUCUGCCUCCUUUCCCUGUCUCAGUGGCCUACCAUGCAGACCUUUGCACACACACACUUAUUUGUAACAGUGAGGCCUGCGCUGUGUCUUCCAUCCACAUUCAGGGGUGAAACAAAAGAGGCAAAGAGGCGCUCUAGGAAGUUCUGCCAGCCUUCCCUGACCUCCUCUGUUAUGCGUUGUAUCUAAAGUCCAGGUCCUGCUCACUCUCCAUAAGAGGGAAGGUGUAACUAACUUAGGCUUGGAGAGCCAGCCUGCUAGCAUACAGUAGCUGCUCUGAGCCUCAGGUGUGCUAGCUCUCAGCAUCAGCUGUGUGGACUCCUCCAGAUUGUCAGUAACAACCUGGAAGCAGUACUUCCUGUGCCGUGGUUCCACUUGCACUUUCCUGUUUCACAGACGGAAGAGAGACAGACACUGGCGUUCAGUGUGAGUGCGUUGGCGAGACUGUUUUCAGCAUGAGUCGGCAGUUGUGCUUCAGAACAUGAUUUGCUUGAGAAGAUUUUAAGUAAGAUGAGGGACUGCCACAGCCUCUCUCGUCUGUGACUCCCUGGUGCUUCCUCGCUGUCCCCAGUGCUUCUUGAUGAAGACAUUCCUGGAACCAUCCAGGCACUUAGCAUCCAGUCUGCAUUACUUCACACACCAACCAGAAUUCUUUCUCGUUUAAAGAGAUUCUCAGUUACCACAAAGCCAGCUUUAUAAACCCAUUCCAGUUUCCCCCAGAAUCUUUUUUAACGUAAGGGAUUGGUCUCCAUUUAUACUUUUCCUUAAACGAUUUUUAUUGAUAAAACACAGAUUCUGUAUUGGGGGGAUAAGAACUCACUUUCUGAUCUCUAGAUGUUGCUGAAAAGGAUUGGAGAACAGGAGCGCACACUCAAACUUGACCUGAGUGGCGGAUUUACCUUAUAUACCUUCCUGUUCUUGGGGCUAACUGUAAUGCUAGACUGUAAGGUUAUGUGUUUGUAGUUAGGGACCAGCUCUUAUGUGUGCCACACUGGAUAGGAAUUCCGAAUCCUGUGUCCUCUGUGACUGACUCGGGGUUUCAGCAGCGUGUUGAAGUCACUCAUGCUAAGACGAGGUGUUGUCUCAUGUAGAAGAUGAAGCCUGCUGCACACGGAAUAGCACUUGGAUCUCUUGCUUUUGCUUACCGUUGUGCAUGCAUGUUUCAUGUUGCUUUUAUGAGAACACACUUUGAGAACACAAGGACUUCUCAGGGUGAGGCUGCCCCUCAGAGGACAAGUUCUAGAGGGAGAGGAAAAAGGGUGUGGCGUAAGGGCCAACAUGCUGUUUCCUGCUUCUUGAUUCUGGCUGGCCCCUUACUAUUUACUCUGUUGGUUCUGUUUUUCAGGCACUACAAACUUCACAUUGGUUUGAUAUGCAUGAAAACAUCCUGAGUCUGUAAAACUAGAGAAAUGUAAAAGAAAACAUGGUCAGGGCUAAAA